ACGAAUUCAUGGUCCGGUGAAGUGUUCGGAUUGUGCCGACGUGUGCGGUCCGCCGCGUGCGAUGUCACGAGAAGUCCACUGAACCUUAUCAUUUAGAGGAAGGAGAAGUCGUAACAAGGUUUCCGUAGGUGAACCUGCGGAAGGAUCAUUG
rnacentral:rRNA from 1 species